UCGUGCGCCUUUAGGCCGCUCUAUGCUGAUCAGUGCCGACCCCAUCGCGGUCCCGAGGUGGUGUGCGCCCUCUCCCGGAGGGGCUUUGCCGCCGAUGGGUGCGGGCUGAGGAGGAUGGAGGUGGAUUGUCCCCCACCACCACCCAUCGCCGUGUGUGGGCUCCUGCUCCUCCGUGGCUUCGUUGAGUCUUGCACACUGGGGGUUGUAGUACCCUGAACUUUUCUCAGUUGGCGUAGGGAUGGCUUUGGUGGGCGCCGACUUCGUGGGCGUCAGAGGCUAUGGAGUUGCACGUGGUGCAGUGCCAGCCAUGAUACAUCAAGCAAGUUCUUCCCUUGCCGGUAACUACAAAACUGCAGACCGAGACCUGAUGCCACUUGCUAAGGAUUUAAUGGAGGAAGUUGGAAGCCCCAUAGAAGAAAAAUUAUCUGGCCUGGAAGGUGAAUCCUGAUGAUGAAAGGCAAGACAUUAAUACUGACCUGAGCAGGCUGUGUUAAAUAGAUUGGCUUCAGAUGACCACCUGCCCGAUGUAUGGAGAUAAAAAUUCCAACUUGAACACUUCCAUAUUGUUUGCAGGGAGAAUAGAGCACAGGACACUUCAUACAAAGGCUUCCAGAGGGUGCUUGGGUAUCCUGACUGGGGUGACUUGGAGGUAUUGAGUGCUGCUAUUAGCAGUGGUCCUGGCCCUGCCUUGAAUAAACUUGGAAGAUGAUGGAUGAUCAGGACAGCAUUUCAAGUGAGAGGGCUGGCGCGCACUCCUGGAAAAAGGAUCACUUUGCUGAGAGAAAAGUUGGUCAAACAUGGAGUGAAGCAAUCGGCCCUCUGCCUGCCUGAGAGAGAGCAAGAUUUGGUUUGAAUGGACAGUUGAGGAAUCAGAAAGUGUGAAGGCAUCAGAUUGUGUACCCAGCGACUCCUAAGUUUUGCCCACAAAAGACAGUGCCCUUGCUUCUGAGGUGCUUGGGUAUAGCCAUGGAGGGGCCAGAGUCAAUCCUGCAGCAGUGGGUGUGUCAAGCUGGAGGGAAGCAGUCUCUCUGCCAUCCCAUUUAGACUAUCAGUUUGGCCUGGAGUCCUUGCUCCACAGUCCUGCCUGCACUCAGAGCCCACCAGGACCGUUUAAGGGGCUUGCAAGGGUGUUGAAAGGACAGAUGGGGCAGCAGUACUUGCUAUGUUCUACACUUGCCACAAUAAAUGACAUGACUUCUGGAUGAAGAGUAGUCUACAGAUUGUGCAGAAAAGAUUUAUGUUCAGAAUGUCUUGUUGCCCCAUUUGUCACAUGCUUCUACAUUGAUACACACUUUAGUUUCUUGCUAAAUAUCCAAUUAAGAAACUAGUUUUGCUCUGAACUUUUGCCAUGUGUCUUUUAACCAGCACUAAGUAGACUUUAGAAGUAAAACAGCUGUCUAAGAAAUUUGAAAUGUGCUAAAAUAAACUCAUCACAAAUGAUUA